UACGGAGGGGACUAGCGUUGUUCGGAAUUACUGGGCGUAAAGCGCACGUAGGCGGAUUUGUUAGUCAGGGGUGAAAUCCCGAGGCUCAACCUCGGAACUGCCUUUGAUACUGCAAAUCUCGAGUCCGGAAGAGGUGAGUGGAAUUCCUAGUGUAGAGGUGAAAUUCGCAGAUAUUAGGAAGAACACCAGUGGCGAAGGCGGCUCACUGGUCCGGUACUGACGCUGAGGUGCGAAAGCGUGGGGAGCAAACAGG
rnacentral:rRNA from 1 species